GGGAGGAGGGAAGGGCCAGAGACCUGCAGACACACUCUGAACAAGCCCAGGAUCCUGCCUCAGGCACGCUGCGUUGUCUUGCCAUCCCAAGAGAAAAUCACCUCUGAACCCUCCAGUUGGAUGAAGAGCCUUCCUCUGAGCUCCCUUCUGCCAUCAUCAUCAACAUAGUGCCUGGCAUCAGAGGGCCUCAGUUUCACCAACCUACAAAGGCAAAAGGUAUUUUCACAGGCCCCAGAAGAUGAACUCCAAGCUGCUGUUCCCAAACACAUUCUCCACUGUCUGGAAGACAUACAGAGGCAAGUGCACAGCGUUCUCCAUCUCAAAUCCUUCAAAGUGCUAUGGGAAUAAAAGAAUCUCCACCUAAAGCCCCAGAGACAUCUGUCUGUCUGUACGGUAUGAUAAUGACAGAGGCUAGUCCAGAUAGGAUUCUGGGAGAAACACAGCUAUUCAAACCUAAUAAAUGACACUGAGAAUUUCUUGUUAUAAUACUGUUUGUUUCUUUGAUUGGCCAUAGCCUCGUAUCUAAGAGGACAUCAAAAUAAAUAAUAAAAGCAAGACAUUGUU